CUCUAACAUGGGAAGUUUCAAAUGUAGAACAGGAGCCUGAAUGUAAGGUACACUCGGUAGAUCUUGAAAUGUGGAUAUUUUAAGUAGGCACAUUAAGAGCAUGUGUAUAAAUAUGUGCAUAAUAAAAGGGGACCAUGCAUGUAGAUACAUAAGGGUGUACAAGCCAAAUGGUGAUAUGGGGCAACCCUAGAAUAGUUACCGUGCUAUUCCACAUCAAAUAGAAAAAGAAAUAUAAGAAAUGCAUGACGCCCCAACUCAAAUUUAGUUGCUCUAACAUGGGAAGUUUCAAAUGUAGAACAGGAGCCUGAAUGUAAGGUACACUCGGUAGAUCUUGAAAUGUGGAUAUUUUAAGUAGGCACAUUAAGAGCAUGUGUAUAAAUAUGUGCAUAAUAAAAGGGGACCAUGCAUGUAGAUACAUAAGGGUGUACAAGCCAAAUGGUGAUAUGGGGCAACCCUAGAAUAGUUACCGUGCUAUUCC
rnacentral:lncRNA from 1 species